rnacentral:rRNA from 1 species
GACGAACGCUGGCGGCGUGCUUAACACAUGCAAGUCGAACGGAAAGGCCCUGCUUGCAGGGUACUCGAGUGGCGAACGGGUGAGUAACACGUGGGUGAUCUGCCCUGCACUUCGGGAUAAGCCUGGGAAACUGGGUCUAAUACCGGAUAUGACCUUCCUUGUAGUGUGGGGGGUGGAAAGAUUUAUCGGUGUGGGAUGAGCCCGCGGCCUAUCAGCUUGUUGGUGGGGUAAUGGCCUACCAAGGCGUCGACGGGUAGCCGGCCUGAGAGGGUGGACGGCCACAUUGGGACUGAGAUACGGCCCAGACUCCUACGGGAGGCAGCAGUGGGGAAUAUUGCACAAUGGGCGGAAGCCUUAUGCAGCGACGCCGCGUGGGGGAUGACGGCCUUCGGGUUGUAAACCUCUUUCGACAGGGACGAAGCUUCGGUGACGGUACCUGUAUAAGAAGCACCGGCUAACUACGUG